UACGUAGGGUGCAGGCGUUAAUCGGAAUUACUGGGCGUAAAGCGUGCGCAGGCGGUUUUGUAAGCCAGAUGUGAAAUCCCCGGGCUUAACCUGGGAAUGGCAUUUGGGACUGCAAGGCUGGAGUUUGGCAGAGGAGACUGGAAUUCAUGGUGUAGCAGUGAAAUGCGUAGAGAUCAUGAGGAAGACCAGUGGCGAAGGCGGGUCUCUGGACAGUUCCUGACACUGAGGCACGAAGGCCAGGGGAGCAAACGGG
rnacentral:rRNA from 1 species